rnacentral:rRNA from 1 species
AAUAAACGCUGGCGGCGUGCCUAACACAUGCAAGUCGAGCGCGAAAGGUCUUCGGACUGAGUAAAGCGGCGGACGGGUGAGUAACGCGUAAGAAUCUGCCCUACAGUGGAGAAUACCUUCGAGAAAUCGAAGUUAAUACUGCAUACGUUCCGAAAGGAUGAAAGAUGGCCUCUUUGCUGUCGCUGAAGGAUGAGCUUGCGUACUAUUAGCUAGUUGGUAGGGUAAAGGCCUACCAAGGCAAAGAUGGUUAGCCGGCCUGAGAGGGUGUACGGCCACAUUGGAACUGAGACACGGCCCAGACUCCUACGGGAGGCAGCAGUGGGGAAUUUUGGACAAUGGGCGAAAGCCUGAUCCAGCCAUGCCGCGUGCAGGAUGAAGGCCUUCGGGUUGUAAACUGCUUUUGUACGGAACGAAAAGGUUUGGCCUAAUAAGCUGAGCUCAUGACGGUACCGUAAGAAUAAGCACCGGCUAACUACGUGCCAGCCGCCGCGGUAA